GUAGAAACACCGGUUCUCGUCCGAUCAUCAAAGUUAAGCAAUGUCGAAACUGGUCAGUAGCUGGAUGAGUGACCGCUUGGGAAUAUCUGGUGCUGUAAU